UGGGGAAUAUUGGACAAUGGGGGGAACCCUGAUCCAGCCAUGCCGCGUGUGUGAAGAAGGCCUUAUGGUUGUAAAGCACUUUAAGCGAGGAGGAGGGUACUGGUAUUAAUACUACCAGGUACUGGACGUUACUCGCAGAAUAAGCACCGGCUAACUCUGUGCCAGCAGCCGCGGUAAUACAGAGGGUGCGAGCGUUAAUCGGAUUUACUGGGCGUAAAGCGUGCGUAGGCGGCUAAUUGAGUCGGAUGUGAAAUCCCCGAGCUUAACUUGGGAAUUGCAUUCGAUACUGGUUAGCUAGAGUGUGGGGGAGGAUGGUAGAAUUCCAGGUGUAGCGGUGAAAUGCGUAGGGAUCUGGAGGAAUACAGAUGGGGAAGGCAGCCAUCUGGCCUAACACUGACGCUGAGGUACGAAAGCAUGGGGAGCAAACAGG
rnacentral:rRNA from 1 species